AUUGAACGCUGGAGGCAGGCCUAACACAUGCAAGUCGAACGAGUGGCGGACGGGUGAGUAAUGUCUGGGAAACUGCCCGAUGGAGGGGGAUAACUACUGGAAACGGUAGCUAAUACCGCAUACCAUCGGAUGUGCCCAGAUGGGAUUAGCUUGUAGGUGAGGUAACGGCUCACCUAGGCGACGAUCCCUAGCUGGUCUGAACGGAUGACCAGCCAGGUGGGAACUGAGACACGGUCGAGACUCCUAAGGGGCGGAGCUGGGGGGAAGAGUGGAAAAUGGGCUGUAGCAUGAUGAAGCCAGGCCGCGUGUGUGAAGAAGGCUUUCGGGUUGUAAAUUACUUGCAGGGGGGAGGCGUUACUCGCAGAAGAAGCACCGGCUAACUCCGGGCCAGCAGCCGCGGUAAUGC
rnacentral:rRNA from 1 species